rnacentral:tRNA from 1 species
GCCCGGGUAGCUCAGUUGGCUAGAGCGUGGGACUUUUACGACACCAGCGAUGGUGAUCUGAGACAUCCCAAUGUCGAGGGUUCGAGCCCCUCUUCGGGCG